rnacentral:rRNA from 1 species
AGAGCGAACGCUGGCGGCAGGCCUAACACAUGCAAGUCGAGCGCGUGUAGCAAUACACGAGCGGCAGACGGGAGAGUAACACGUGGGAACGCGCCCUUCGGUUCGGAAUAACUCAGGGAAACUUGAGCUAAUACCGGAUACGCCCUUACGGGGAAAGAUUUAUUGCCGAAGGAACGGCCCGCGUCCGAUUAGCUAGUUGGCGAGGUAAUGGCUCACCAAGGCGACGAUCGGUAGCUGGUCUGAGAGGAUGACCAGCCUCACUGGGACUGAGACACGGCCCAGACUCCUACGGGAGGCAGCAGUGGGGAAUAUUGGACAAUGGGCGCAAGCCUGAUCCAGCCAUGCCGCGUGGAUGAUGAAGGCCUUAGGGUUGUAAAGUCCUUUUAACGGGGAAGAUAAUGACGGUACCCGUAGAAUAAGCCCGGCUAACUUCGUGCCAGCAGCCGC